AAGUCGUAACAAGGUUUCCGUAGGUGAACCUGCGGAAGGAUCAUUACCUAUUGUUUGGGGUGCAAACCCCUUACUUAACCCUUGCUUUUUGCGUACCUAUUGUUUCCUCGGCAGGCUUGCUUGCCAGUAGGACCCUUUUCAACCUUUUGUAAUUGUAGUCAGCGUCAGAAAAGAAUUAAUUGUUACAACUUUCAACAACGGAUCUCUUGGUUCUG
rnacentral:misc_RNA from 1 species